UACGAAGGGGGCUAGCGUUGCUCGGAAUCACUGGGCGUAAAGCGCACGUAGGCGGCUUUUGUAAGUUAGAGGUGAAAGCCCGGGGCUCAACUCCGGAAUUGCCUUUAAGACUGCAUCGCUAGAAUUGUGGAGAGGUAAGUGGAAUUCCGAGUGUAGAGGUGAAAUUCGUAGAUAUUCGGAAGAACACCAGUGGCGAAGGCGACUUACUGGACACAUAUUGACGCUGAGGUGCGAAAGCGUGGGGAGCAAACAGG
rnacentral:rRNA from 1 species